GACGAACGCUGGCGGCGUGCUUAACACAUGCAAGUCGAGCGGAGCGGCGAACGGGCGAGCAACGCGUGAGUAACUGCCCCCCUCUCUGGGAUAACAGUUGGAAACGGCUGCUAAUAUCGGAUAGUGGGGGAUGACUCGCGGCCUAUCAGCUUGUUGGUGGGGUAGUGGCCUACCAAGGCGACGCCGGGUGGCCGGCCUGAGAGGGCGACCGGCCACAGUGGGCUGAGAGACGGCCCAAAGUGCUACGGGAGGCAGCGGUGGGGAAUAUUGCGCAAUGGGGGAAGCCCUGUUGCAGCAACGCCGCGUGCGGAAUGACGGCCUUCGGGUUGUAAACCGCUUUCAGCCAAGACGCGGUAGUGGCAGAAGAAGCACCGGCUAACUACGUGCCAGCAGCCGCGGUAAUAC
rnacentral:rRNA from 1 species